rnacentral:siRNA from 1 species
UCACGCCACGUGUUAGAUCGGUAG